CCUACGGGAGGCAGCAGUGUGGAAUAUUGGACAAUGGGCGCAAGCCCGAUCCAGCAAUGCCGCGUGUGUGAAGAAGGUCUUCGGAUUGUAAAGCACUUUUGGCAGGGACGAUGAUGACGGUACCUGCAGAAUAAGCCCCGGCUAACUUCGUGCCAGCAGCCGCGGUAAU
rnacentral:rRNA from 1 species